GAUGAACGCUAGCGGCAGGCCUAAUACAUGCAAGUCAAGGGGCCCAGCAAUGGGCACGGCGGACGGGUGCGUAACGCGUACACAACAUACCUUUAAGUGGGGGGAUAGCAUUGGGAAACUGAUGGUAAUACCCCAUAACUAAUUCAGGGGAGGCAUUUCCCUGGAUUUAAAGCUCCGGCGCUUUAGAGAUUGGUGUGCGUCUGAUUAGCUUGUUGGCGGGGUAACGGCCCACCAAGGCGACGAUCAGUAGGGGUUCUGAGAGGAAGGUCCCCCACAUUGGAACUGAGACACGGUCCAAACUCCUACGGGGAGGCAGCAGUGAGGAAUAUUGGUCAAUGGGACGAGAGUCUGAACCAGCCAAGUAGCGUGCAGGAUGACGGCCCUAUGGGUUGUAAACUGCUUUUAUAAGGGAAUAAAGUGAGUCUCGUGAGACUUUUUGCAUGUACCUUAUGAAUAAGGACCGGCCAAUUCCGUG
rnacentral:rRNA from 1 species